UACGUAGGGGGCAAGCGUUGUCCGGAUUUAUUGGGCGUAAAGGGUAGGUAGGUGGUCUCAUUUGUCUGGGGUGAAAGCCUUGAGCUUAACUCAAGAAGUGCCCCAGAAACGGUGAGACUAGAGUCUUGGAGAGGGUCGUGGAAUUCCCGGUGUAGCGGUGAAAUGCGUAGAGAUCGGGAGGAACACCAAUGGCGAAGGCAGCUCGCUGGGACGGUACUGACGCUGAGACGCGAAAGCGUGGGGAGCAAACAGG
rnacentral:rRNA from 1 species